UCCCCCUCCUACACCUGGAUGUUAGUCGCCGCUUCAGACACCUGUGCAUUUAUCCAACAAUCAGAGGAAAAAACACCAUCGUCUCUUACCUCUCCCUACUCAGCUUCUAAUCCCCAUUCUCCAACCAUGGCAGGCGCUCACCUUCUCGCCCCUCCCCCUCCACCUCCGAGCGCCUCACCCAGCGGUUCCUCAACAGCCCGCAGUUGCCGCUCAAGUUGCUUCCGCUUCUCUCCUCCUGCCUCCCCCCUUGAUGCCGUCCGCCGCCGACCGGACCUGGAUGAACGAGCACGUCCUCAACGCCAAGCAGGCGCAGUGCUCUAGCAGUCUGGCCACCUUGGCGUCGACGCAGUCUGCAUCCAUCUAGUACUGCAUCCACCAAGAGUUCUAAAGAACAGAGGAAGAUUCCUGUGCUUGGAGUUGAGUCAUGUGAUUGUUCAGAUUUUUAAAGACAUGUAGGUUUCCUUUGGUCAUGUUGUUGCUGUAGGAUAACUUCGUAUGACCACUGUCUUAAACAUUCAGUUAAAAACAAACAAGCAGAUCCUGUCAUUUUUUUAAAAGCAUAUGGCUACAAUAACCUGCAACAAAGUUAAUAUCUGCUUGCAAAACUAUGUGGUUUCCUUUAGUAAAGUAUGUUGUCGCUGGAAUUUGCCCAAAAUUGUGUACUUAUAACCAAUGACGCAUAUAGUCUUGUGUAUUAAUGCCUUGAAAUUUUUCCUGUAUCGCCCAUCUUCUCCUCUUUGUGCCGCUGCCCCUUGUUCGGUUUGGUUCGAUUUACUUUUCUUCCCGUUUCCCUAGUGCGGUUUCCUCAUGUAGGUGCUGCUGCAUGAUGUGCACCGGGGAUAAGGAAAAAAAGAGAAGGCUGUUCAGGUGACGAGGAAACCAAAUGGGACGUGGUGCUAGGCCUCAAUGAAUCCAAAAGAGCUCAAUGGUGUGCUGUAUAUUCGUCUGUUGUUUGAGAUAGACUUGUCAAUUUCCAGAGCUAGUAUGUGAAUAACACUCUACAUUUUGAGGUUUAGAGCACUUGUUUGCACUUGGUUGGCACCAUGUGGUGGUGAUUGUGGUUGCCAACAUUCAGCCAGUGUGUGUCUUGCUGUAGUGAGUAAUUGGAUUGAGUUCUAGAGCAAUAUGCAACUGUAGAAACAUGCUUCAUUCCGCUCGUAUGUGAGUCUCAAUGUUGGCGUUGGUUUCUGAGAUCAUGAAGCUAGCUAGCUAUUAUGUCUAGUAUCUCCUGGUAUGAUUUGUUUAGUCUCCAUUCUGGCAUUGGUUUCAAAAUGACCAGUGCGCAUUUGCGGAUGUGUAGUAUGGCCUCGCCUACAAUUCUCUGUACGUCAUGCUUGGCGUCUCACAUCGUUCCGUUGAUUUCUUGCAGAUAUUGCGUAGGAGGUUGAGGGACAUGAGGUCCGGCAGUGAGCUUAAAGCUCUGUUGCUAUUCAACGGUCUUAGGAAUCUCUUCAAAUAAACAUAUGAGGUAUAUGUUCUGCCCCUCUCGAUAUGCUUAGCAGAAUAAUUAAUUUGUGAUGAUCCUGUUUUCCUAUUGUCUAAUCUUGGAGUAAGUUUCUCUUGAAUAUAUGUGAUCUGUUUUAUCACUUUGUGGUACUCUUUAAUCUCUUUGGUUAAUAUAAACAUGGUUGUGCAAUUAUGAUUGAAAUCACAUCAACAGAAUGUCUACGCCUAAUUAUUAUUGGAAUUACCUUAACACUUGUUUCCCAAUACAUAGCAAUCUUGCGGCUACUCCUGAACCCAAAACCGGCCAUCCACUUGAUUACCUGUAUCAAACCAUGGCGGGAAGUUGUUGAUUUUGUCGAAAGUAGCAAUCAAAGGCAUGCCUGGCUACCCCGAUGAACGCCAAGGGGUUCAGAGAUAUGGGGAUGCAGACCAUGUCCAUCAUCAGGUGCCGCUGAUGCAUUCUCUGGCAGGUGCACCCGCUUCCACUUGGGCAGUAGCUGCUUCUCCCCGACGCCCACCACUGCUACGGGCUGCCGCUGCUACUGCUCUUGCUCGUCGGCGCUGCAUGCUGCUGCUCGCCGAAGCCCUCGUGCUGCCGUCGUCCUGGACCUGGUCGCGAGUCGCGACUCACACCAUGGUUGCCGCCACAAACUGCCGUGUUCUCUGAAGAACGCAACAUCAAAGCAGCAAAAGCUUCACCACCGAUGGCUCCCAUGACAUCGCUUUUUCUCCGGCGAUUCCAACUGUACUGCCCCGCCAUUGUUGUCAUCCUCUUGAAGCUACUUUAGCCAGGAAUGGGUGUACUCCCGCCCGGCGACGUCAAUGGCGAUGGAGGUGUGGAAAGAGUCGGAGGCGGCAAGCAGGGCGAGCGGGGCGGGCGAAGAGCAGGCCGAGGCCAAGGCGGCACGGGAGUGCCAGCCUUGAGGCCCGCCUCCACCUGCAAGAACUUCGAGACACGGCGCUGGAUCCCUCUGUCUCCCACGCCCAUCCUCCGUCUCCCGCGUCCGUCCUCCGUCACCCAGCUCCGGCGAGCUCCUACCUAGGUCGCCACACCACCCCUCCUUUCUCCCUUCUUCUCUUCCUCACGGCCUCACCUCCCUGUCUUCUUUCUCCCCAGGACCUGCUGAUGCCAUGGGUGCGCCCGGGAAGCCUCGCCGCCGGCCGCUCAUCGUCACCGGUGACCCCCGCCUCGCUGCCGGCCUCUGGAUCCGCCUCCCAAGCGCCUUCCGUGCAUGGAUCCGUCCCCUUCAAGCUCCAUCCGCCGCCGCCUUCUGCAUCGAGCCGCCGCCAGCCGCUCGUGCCGCCGCGCGUUGACCCGAUCCUGAACCUGACGUAUGGACUACGGGUUGAAUAUACUAAACAACAGGGCCCUUUUUGUAAAAAUGAAGCGUUUUCUCAGAACCACUUAUAAAGGGAUUGCGGGUUGCAUUACUAAAAAGUAGAAGGACUUUU